rnacentral:lncRNA from 1 species
GACAAUCGUAUGGAAGAUUUAGAAUAAAUUUGGAUGCACGGCGCUGAACUCGUUCUACUCGUUUAAUCAGAUCGAUCGUCUGAGGAGCCCAAAUCUGCGUGGCGUAGCCGAGAUGAGGUCGUGCAAUCGCUAGGAACAGGCAUCUUCUUGUUCUGGGGUUUCUUAUCUCCUUACAUGCUCUCUUGAUAAAACCCAAAAGUUUGUUUGCUUUUGAGCUCUGUUCAACAACUUGCUUGUUCCAGGUCAAGUCACUAUCAAUCCACACACCAAGGUCUUUCUCCUGGUUCACGGCACCAAGUAUUGAGCCAUUCAUGGCGUAUGGAUAAC